rnacentral:rRNA from 1 species
UACAGAGGGUGCGAGCGUUACUCGGAAUUACUGGGCGUAAAGCGCGCGUAGGCGGCUUUGCAAGUCGGGUGUGAAAUCCCCAGGCUUAACCUGGGAACUGCAUUCGAGACUGCAUUGCUAGAGUAUGGGAGAGGGAAGUGGAAUUUCCGGUGGAGCGGUGAAAUGCAUUGAGAUCGGAAAGAACACCAACGGCGAAAGCACUCUGCUGGGCCGACACUGACACUGAGAGACGAAAGCUAGGGGAGCAAAUGGG